AGUCUGCCUUCUCUUAAAAAAAUACAUUUUUAUCAAGCUAUAAAAUUUUCUCUGGUCUCCUUCCCUGCGUACUGCUGGGGGCAGAGCGUUAGCAUUAGCCGUUACGCUUUUUUGGCUAAAGGUUGCAGGCUUGCCUUCCAGUGCCUUUGGUAAGGCCUAUACCCGAGCCCAUGGGCGCAGAAUACGUGUGUCCCCCGCACUUUUAAUAAAAUGUAAAUUCAUCCCCCGCAUUUUUUUUUUUUUUUUUGGGCAAGUGUGCAUAGAGGCCAAUGUGAAUAAAUAUUGAUUUAAAUUCAAAGAGACAAGAUAGUCUAUGCAUGACUUAUCGUUUUAUUCUUAAAUAAAAUGAGGCGAUCUAAACAUUAUGGAGCGCUCACUCUCGUGUAAUGUGUUUCAUUCAUACUGGAAGCUAGAGGGCGCUCUCUCGCAGAAGAGACCAAAAACGGUUUCGUAGAAGUAAAUCAGCUAUUCGCAGUAACAGCAGCUGAAUAAAAUAAAAGAGCUUAGAACCCAAGGCUGCGUCCGAAACCGCCUACUUCUCUACUAUAUAGUAGGGGAAAAGCAGUAGGCGAGCGAAUAAGUAUGUCAGAAACCUCAGUAAUAAAAGAGUAGUCGAGAAGUUCCCGGAUGGCCUACUGCUCCCGCCCAGAUUCUGAAGUGCUCCUCGAUGGACACUCUUCUAUCCCAGGAGGCCACGGGAGAGGAUACGUCAUGAUCGACACGGAGGAGAAAAGCAGCGCGGAUGCUUUCAAAUAAGAGAAGCCUCCGCCCUCUGGAACUCUUCCAAGGUGUCCAUCUUCUUUAUUUCAAUUCCAGAUUGAGGUCCGCUCCUCUGCAGUUUUCUGACUUCAUCAGUGAGAGUCACCAGCUUUUGGCAGCUAUUGGGGAAACUCACCAUCUUCAUGGCAUCAAGGCCUUUGUCCUGAAGAAUCUCAGCGCCAAACGCCGGGGAUCACAUCUCAUCUGGUAACAAGAGCACAGCCAUAAUUGGUCCCAGAGUCUGGAGGAAGAGAGGAGAGGCACACAAUCCACGUUGCUUGAGGUCCAGUGUAAAGUUUCCACAGUCAGUGAUGGUUUGGGGUGCCAUGUCAUCUGCUGGUGUUGGUCCACUAUGUUUUCUGAGGUCCAAGGUCAACGCAGCCGUAUACCAGGAAGUUUUAGAGCACUUCAUGCUUCCUGCUGCUGACCAACUUUAUGGAGAUGCAGAUUUCAUUUUCCAACAGGACUUGGCACCUGCACACAGUGCCAAAGCUACCAGUACAUGGUUUAAGGACCAUGGUAUCCCUGUUCUUAAUUGGCCAGCAAACUCGCCUGACCUUAACCCCAUAGAAAAUCUAUGGGGUAUUGUGAAGAGGAAGAUGCGAUAUGCCAGACCCAACAAUGCAGAAGAGCUGAAGGCCACUAUCAGAGCAACCUGGGCUCUUAUAACACCUGAGCAGUGCCACAGACUGAUCGAAUCCAUGCCACGCCGCAUUGCUGCAGUAAUUCAGGCAAAAGGAGCCCCAACUAAGUAUUGAGUGCUGUACAUGCUCAUACUUUUCAUGUUCAUACUUUUCAGUUGGCCAAGAUUUCUAAAAAUCCUUUCUUUGUAUUGGUCUUAAGUAAUAUUCUAAUUUUCUGAGAUACUGAAUUUGGGAUUUUCCUUAGUUGUCAGUUAUAAUCAUCAAAAUUCAAAGAAAUAAACAUUUAAAAUAUAUCAGUCUGUGUGUAAUGAAUGAAUAUAAUAUACAAGUUUCACUUUUUGAAUGGAAUUAGUGAAAUAAAUAAACUUUUUGAUGAUAUUCUAAUUAUAUGACCAGCACCUGUAUAAGACGCGCCGGUGCUUCCAUGUCAGGAUUUUGUCUGCUAUAUUUUCUUCUUAUUUAUUAAAUCCAGGCAAUUGGUUGAUGAAACAUUGAUUAAAAUUAAGAUACAAUUUUUACUAAACGAAAUUCACUGUAAAGAAAGGCUUUCUACAAAACAAAACUUAAUAAAGUGGUCAAAAUCAUGUCUGACCCACUCCAUGUCUCCCGAUAGGCCUAUUGCGCAUCUUAUCUUAGUCAUGCAGUUCAUUUUUCACAAUCAAAUAUUAAAAAAUAACAUUAUAAUAGGCCUAUUUAAACAUAAAGAAAACGUGGUUUCAUUUUUUAAUGGCUGAAUGCUCAUUUCGGUUCAUUUUCAUGACCGACACACGUUAACCGACCAUUAACCGUUAACUGAUAAGAUUUGAAUGUUAAAUUGGGAUUAAAUAAAAAUAAAAUUGACAAGUGUCUGUGACAAACAAUACAAACACAUUCAUCUUUUUUUUUCUUUUUUUUUUGCUUGCGCAAACAGCAGAACAAACAGCGUGAUUUUUCACGCGUAUUUAACGUGUGAAAUACGCGUGAAAUAGACGCAUUUAACGUGUUGUUGACAUGUUAAAAUUCACGUGUUAUUGGCCCUUUUGGCCUUCCAUAUUUAAUGGGAUUAUUUAUUUAGAGGUUAACUAUAACUGUUCAACCCCUGAAAGCCAUGGCCAUUUUCACAAUCACAAUAGAAAUUGUGUAAGGAUAAUUAAUUGUGUGAAAUAAUUAAAUAAAACAAUAUUUACAUGUACACUUACACUGUAGCAUAUUUCUAAAACCUAAAUUGUUUACUGACAUUAAAAAGUA